AAAUGAUGAAGCCAUUCAUUCUACCUCAAUGCUGCGGCAGCACAUCCUCACAGAAGUUGCCAUCAAGAAAUUCACUGUACACACCUUAAAGACUUCUACUAUUUAUUGGAUAUAGGUGAGCAAUACUUGGUUAUAACCGACAAACAAAAUCGAGCUGAUAAAAUUUGGUUAUUUUGGCAAACAAAAUUUCAUUUUUCAGUUUAAUGCAGUUAUUCUCGUUCAGUUAUUGGUCAUGUUAAAAAGUUAUAAUCGAAGUAACUGAUUUUCAAUUAUUAAUAUAAUGAUUUUUCUUUUCUUAGAAAAGCUGCCUAGCGAUAAAAAUUGUUCUAGUCUUGGUUUAUUGAUACCUGGUCAUCUUCUUACCAAAUUCCAAAAUCUCAGCUUCAUAACAAAGAGCUUUUCCAACACAGAUACAUGUUGACUGCUUGUGAGCAAUCCCAUGUAUAAUACUAUAUCCCAGCAAAAUUGUCCAAGUAGUAUAAUAAGACAAGCUACCUUACUUUAUUCCAGUCAGCCUUUAUUUGACAAAGAUGCAAAAUAUGAAGUCAAAUAAAUGCACACACCAAAAUCAUUAGACAACUCCUAUUUGAGAAUAGGACUAGGCUUAGAUAAUGCCCACAAAUUCCCUUCCAAUAGCUUCUCAGUUAAGAUACAACAUGGUGCAACCAAAAAUAUCAGAAGGUUCCUCAAAAUCAUAUGCAGUCAUGCACUCAAAUGAGCCACACCAUAGAAUUGAAUAGAUAUCUCAGAAUUAUUCCUUUUGAAAUUAGUUUAAGACAUGACUCCAGUAAUAAGGCAAAAUAGAAGAACCCAUGAGCAUACAAUUUCACACUUAAUUUGUUGUGAAUUAGUAAUGAUAACAAACAUGCUCAUUCUGAGAAUAAGAAGAUGAUCCUAACAGCCAGGUAAGAAAUCAAUUCAGAAAUCAGUUCA
rnacentral:misc_RNA from 1 species